rnacentral:rRNA from 1 species
CCCUAUUAUAAUUAAUAUAAUUUCGGUUUUUAGUAGUAUAUGAUUUGUUCAGGAAACUUAAAGAAUUUGGCGGUGUAUAUUCUAAUUAGAGGAAUAUGUUUUUUAAUUGAUACCCCACAAUUAUCUUACUUGAAUUUAUUUAUUUUGUAUAUCUCCGUCUUAAAAAGAUUUUUUAAAAUAUUUUUUAUAUUUCAAAUUAUGAAAUAAGUCAGGUCAAGGUGCAGGUUAUGUUCAAGUUAAAAUGUAUUACAAUAUAGGUAUAUUUGGAUUAAAAUUUAAAAGUUUUAUAAAAUUGGAUUUAUAAGUAAUUUUUUUUGUAUAAUAAUAAAUUGAAUGGUGUUAAUAUACAUGCACACAUCGCCC